UCAUUCAUUCUUUCCUUUAGGGAUAUAGUUCACAAAGAAAACCUGUGAGGAGAUCAUGAUACUUCUCUGAGAAAAUGUGCCCAGAUUGGAGAUUUAGAUUUCAAUUUUCAUUGCUUUGUUACAAGUUAAAGAAAGAACUGAGGGACAAAUGAAACCUCAUCCCUUUUGUGAAAUUCUGAGUUCAGAGGACAUGAGCCACCACUACGGAUUUCUCAGCCAUUUUCUUAAUUAACAUCGUAUCUCCACAUAACCUAUGUCACCACGCCUGCCUGCUUCCACACUUCCCUACCAUGAUCGUGAUGGACUCGUAUCCUUCUGGAACCAUAUACCUCAAAUAAGACCUUAAUUCUAAUAAUCACUUUUAUCGAGAUCUACAAAGAAAAAAGAGCAAGAUGGGUAAAAGGAAAUACAAAUGGUAUAGUUUGGAGAGGAAAAGGAUACUAGCAAGAUUAAUACUAAAUCUUCUCUCUCUGCCUUUCAUCUCAGGGUAGGAGCACUGAGG